UUUGGAGGCGGUUUUAACUGAAGAACGCUAGGGAUGUGCAAAGCCGUCCUCAGAAAUCUCCUUCCUCAUCACAGGCUGUACCCUGUGGGAUGGGCGGAGACCGGAGGCCAGGUGCAGGUCCCAGGCUCAUCCUAGGGUCAAGUUCCCGGCCCCCAGCUCAGACCUGACACACUGGGAGGCUGGACUGCUGGGUUGCACAACCAGCUGGCCUUAGGAGUUCAGACCUGGGAGAGCUCUGAAAUGUCUCUGUUCUGAUAGGGAAACUGAGGCUCAGAGAAGGAAAGCGGUCUGCUCAGGCUCAGAUGGACAGUCUCAGGACCCUGAAUCUCUACUGGGAAUCAAACCUUCUCCACCCUCGGGACAGGUGGUUCAAGUAAAACAAUCGGCUUCCUGCUCAUCCAAGGGCACCCACCUGGCUCAGUCCUAACCAAUCAGAACAGUUCAUUCCUCCCUCUUACCCAACUGGUUCAGGUUGGUAGGUAAUGACUCCGUGGGCGGGGCAGCAGGUAUUCACUUCCGGUUUAACUGGGGUCGUUAAUAUAAGGCAGUUCUUCUUGUGCUCUCGGCUGGAGGGAACAACACCCAGGGGGCAGCCACCUCUGCCACUAUCAGGUGACUGACUACCCAAGAAUGGAAGGCACACAGGAAGCUCAUGGCCAAGGGAAAGUGAUACAGCAGGCUUUGACUGGAAAAAUCCCGGGAGCGAGCUGGACCUGCAAGCUGGCCGGAGAUUGCUCGACUCCACGGACUAGUACAUUCUCCCUUGUGCUGAAGUCGGUUGAGUUCUGUCACUCGCCCGCAAAAGGGGGUUCAGCUACGAAACAAGGCUCCAAAACAGGGUGCUGAGGGACCCUCUCUCCAUACCCAGAAUGUCCCCCAACUCCCUGUCACACAGCACCAACAUACUUUACAGGCAGUACUCAUGAGGGGAGUUCCCAACUGAUGGCCCAUGGCCAUUUUGUGUGCCCCUGCAGCCUGCUUCCUCCUUGGCCUUGGUCAGGAGCGCAGGCACGUUAUUUUCAAACUCAGCUUUGUCCAGCAUCCCCUGCCCUGAGGCUGUACCCAACAUAUCCUAUCACUUUCCUGGGCCUGGCUUGCUUGCUUGCUUCUUUUUCUUUCUUUCUUUCUUUCUUUCUUUCUUUCUUUCUUUCUUUCUUUCUUUCUUUCUUUCUCUCUCUCUCUCUCUCUCUCUCUCUCUCUCUCUCUCUCUCUCUUUCUCACACUCUCUUUAUUUAUACAUGUGGUUUUCUUUUCCUUUGUCACAUAGCCUCAUGUAGCCAAGGCUAGCCUUCAGCUUCUAACCUUCCGGCAGUGAGAUUUUACAGGCAAGCUGGCUGGCUUCAUGUCUCUGUAACCACAUUGUGGGAUGGGGGAAAGCACCUGUCCUGCCAGCUGAUUAAAGGAAUUGAAACAGGGGCCACCACUGCUAGAUAUGACAAUAGUGUCUCUUAGCAGGUGUUCCAGCCCGAGCCACAGAGUGGACUCUUCUUAGAGUCCACUUGAGAAAGGAUACCCUUCACAGGAAAACAAAAACCAAUGGAGACAGGGAGUCUGCCCUGGGGUGCGUGGGACCUCCCCUGCCGGCCCUUGCCGUUGCAGGUGCUUGCUCAGUUCCUUUGCCCAGCCCCUGAUCCCAGACUGGCACACAGGUGUGAAGAGAUACCCAUCCAGUGACUCACACUGCCCGAGUGGGGACAGUAUGAGUCCUGGCUUAGGCACGAGGAUCAAGUAACGGCAACUCAAGCCAGUUCCAGACCAGGCCAGGGACAGCUGGAUGGAUGUGCCUCUCUCAUAGGCAUCUCAGGCUCCCUGAUCAAACCCCGAACUGCCGCCCAGUCUCCAUCUAACCCCAACCCUUCCCUCACCCACGCCCACCAGAGCCCCUGAUAGGGAGCUGUGAGUUGAGGUGUUCAGCAGGUGUUACUCAGAGUACCUAGGGAUCUGGCAAGAACUGGGGGUCAUCGGGCAAAAAUACCUCACAAGUCAGAAAGGCCAGGAACAAAAGAGCCAAUGUCACAUGGUGCCAUUCAUACAAUUGGUAAAUGCACCAUUUAGGGCUGGUUGGGUCAGAGGACCAAGGGAAGGGUAAGUCUAACAGGGACAGGGUUUCUUUUGGAUGGGAGCAAUGCUGUUCCAAAAGGACAUUCUCGUGGGUGGUUUGAAUAAGAAUGGCCCACACAGGCUCCUGUAGUUGAAUGUUUGGUUCCCAGUUGGUUGAAGUGCUUAGGAAGGAUUAAGAGGUGUGGCCUUGUUGGGGAAGGCGUGUCACUGGGGGUGGGCUUUGAAAUUUCAAAAGCCCAUGCUAGGCCCUGUCUCUUUCUCUCUGUCUUUCUGUCUCUUCCCCUUUCUCCUCUCUGCUACCUGCAGAUAAGAUGUAAGCUCUCAGUCACUGCUCCCGUGCAUGCAGCCCUGGUCCCUGCCAUGACAGCCAUAGACUCCCCCUUCGACACUGUAAACAAGCCCCCGUUACAUGGUUUCUUUUAUAAGCUGCCUUGGUCAUAGUAUCUCUUUACAGCAACAGACAGUGGCUAAAGCAAGCCUAGUGAUGCUUACAGAGUUGGUUGGCAUGCAGGAUGGACCUAACAGUGCUCUGGUAUGCAGAACCAAAUGGCAGUUGUUCAUGGGUAAGCAGCGUGGUGCGUGCCUGAGUGGGAUAUCAUUGAGGGUGACAUGGCACAGCUGACUCCCAGGAACAGAGACUUCUUUUGCUGCCUGAAGCCUCUCUUGGCUUUUCUUUUUUCUUUUCUUUUUUUAUUUUUUUAAGAUUUAUUUAUUUAUUUACUGUAGCUGUCUUCAGACACAUCAGAAAAGGGCAUCAGAUCUCAUUACAGAUGGUUGUGAGCCACCAUGUGGUUGCUGGGAUUUGAACUCAGGACCUUCAGAAGAGCAGUCAGUGCUCUUGCAAGCUGAGCCAUCUCUCUAGCUCCUCUCUUGGCUUUUCAGUCAUCUAGGGGUGAGCCUUACCAGGGUUUGGUGGAUCCUGGUCGCCUAACAGUCACUAGCUUCCUGCUAGACGAAGAAGAGAAUACUCAUCUUUUUAAAAAAGUUUUUUUUUCAUAUAUAUGAGUAGCUGUUUUCAGACACACCAAAAGAGGACAUAGGAUCCCAUUAUAGAUGGCUAUAAUUCCCAUGUGGUUGCUGGGAAUUGAACUCAGGGCCUACUGGAAGAGCAGUCAGUGCUCUUAACCACUCUCCGGCCCCCAUGCUCAGCAUCUUGAGAAGCCAAGAUGUCUGGCUGUAUUUGUAUGGUUUCCUUGUUUUAUUUUGUUUUGAGGCAGGGUCUCCGGUAGGCUAAACUGAGCUCAGACCCACUGACGAUGAUAUCUGUGAUGUUCCAAUUGUUAACUUCAGGAAGUCACCGGGAGAUGGACCUCUGGGCAUGCCUGUGACAAGUAAUCUUGGUUAGGUUACUUGAGGUAGGAUGACCUACCUGCUAUGGAUGGCACUGAGUUGGGACACUGGACUGUAUGAAAAAAAAGAGAAACAUAAGCAGAAGUAUUCAUUCAUUCAUUCAUUGCUGUCUGCUUCCUGGAUGUGAAUGAGAUGUGACCAGCUGCCACUGGUUCCUGCAAUAGGAAAAGUGAAACAACCUGGAAACUCUGAUUCUAAUCCCCGGGGCCUGAGUGCUAGUGUCACAGGUGUGGGGAGGAGCCUGAGUGCUAGAGUCACAGGUGUGGGGAGAAGCCUGAGUGCUAGAAUCACAGGUGUGGGGCGGGGCCUGAGUGCUAGAGUCACAGGUGUGGGGAGGAGCCUGAGUGCUAGAGUCACAGGUGUGGGGAGGAGCCUGAGUGCUAGAGUCACAGGUGUGGGGCGGGGCCUGAGUGCUAGGGUCACAGGUGUGGGUUGGGGCCUGAGUGCUAGAGUCACAGCUGUGGGGAGGAGCCUGAGUGCUAGGGUCACAGGUGUGGGGCGGGGCCUGGGUACUAGAGUCACAGGUGUGGGGCAGGGCCUGAGUGCCAGAGUCACAGCUGUGGGGAGGAGCCUGAGUGCUAGAGUCACAGCUGUGGGGAGGAGCCUGAGUGCUAGAGUCACAGCUGUGGGGAGGAGCCUGAGUGCUAGAUCACAGGUGUGGGGCGGGGCCUGAGUGCUAGGGUCACAGGUGUGGGGUGGGGCCUGAGUGCUAGAGUCACAGGUGUGGGGCGGGGCCUGAGUGCUAGAGUCACAGCUGUGGGGAGGAGCCUGAGUGCUAGGGUCACAGGUGUGGGGCAGGGCCUGGGUACUAGAGUCACAGAUGUGGGGCAGGGCCUGAGUGCUAAAGUCACAGCUGUGGGGCGAGGCCUGAGUGCCAGAGUCACAGAUGUGGGGCGGGACCUGAGUGCUAGAGUCACAGGUGUGGGGUGGGGCCUGAGUGCUAGAGUCACAGGUGUGGAGAGGGGCCUGAGUACUAGAGUCACAGGUGUGGAACGCUAAUGCUGGCUACUCCAUCUUUUAUUUACCCUUUGUUAUUGAGACAGGCGGGGCCUCAGUCUUUCUCUAUAGCUAAGGAUGACCUUGAAUUUCUGAUCCUUCUGAGCACACCUGGUUUGUCUGCUAUUGGAAUGGAACCCACACUUCCUGCUCUCCGGGCAAGUUCUCCAUCAUCUGAGCCACAUCCUGAACUCCAUUCACUUAUAACUGUAAUAAACAUUUCCUCUUUA